CAUAUAUUUUCUGAAUCGUAAACGUAUGCUUCGUAAACGCGCUAUUCUUGUUUCAGACAUUCCACAACACACAACGUAAGAAAAAAGGGUCACCGACCAGCGUCGUCGCGAACCAAUGAAACUACUUCAAAGUCACGUGAUUCUGUUUAUCCGAUUCCACGUUCCAGAUGAACGCUAUUCAGUAACGUUGGACGAUAGAGUUUAUGUUUACUUACGACUGAUACCAGUGGAGAAAAGUGAGGUUAUAUUCGAAAGCGCCAAACGGUAAUACGGAGAACUAUCAUCGUUCCAUUGGUGUUUUCGCGGGCCAGCUACCAUAUUGCUAAUUUCUCCUUGGAAUGUUCGUUUCCAUCGAAUUAAACCAAGUAUACGCACAUCCUUCCCAAGACACAACAAUCUACGGAAGGUUCUAAGAAUUAUCUUACCUGUCCACGGGUGGUGCCCCUCGCGCGGCCCCAUCCCCUUCCACGCGCCCAGACCGAGAGAGAGGCACGUCAGUGUAACGCAGAGCGUAGAGCAGAACGGACCGAAGCGUCUGCGUCGUCGUGGAACGCGCAUCCUAACGGUACGGGAGUGGGGGAAGCUCUUGGACACGUACAGUGGCCUGCGGACAAGCGCACGUUAACGCGAGGAACGUCAUUGGUGUAGCGGUAUUUACGUCUACACGGAAUUCGAGUUGCCGCGAACGCGACUCGAAAAUUUGUCCGUGUCUGCGCCAAUGUUGCGGAUGACAUCAUUGCGAAACGGCUCGGCGGCGGGGCGUGAGGGGUAUCCGUAAAGAUCGUGGAUCAUCGCGAGGGUACGGCGCGGGGUGGGAGGGUUGCGAGCGCCGGUUCGGGGAGCGGAGAGGAGAGGAGUCGAGCGCGAAGAGGAAGAGACACACGGCUAGAGCGAUGGGUUCGAAACGCUUCGAGUCGACGCGAACGAGUUACGAGUGAAUGAAAUGAAAUCGUUGUUACCACGAGUCUAGAAAUUUCUAACCCUUUGCGGUCGACAGGUGACUCUCAGUCGCCAUUAGGUUUCGCGCAGCAAAUCUAUCAGCGAAGAAAUCGUUGGUACCACGAGUCUAGAAAUUUCUAACCCUUUGCAGUCGAGAGGUGACUCUCAGUCGCCAUUAGGUUUCACGCAGCAAAUCUAUCAGCGAAGAAAUCGUUGUUAUCACGAGUCUAAAAAUUUCUAACCCUUUGCAGUCGAGAGGUGACUCUCAGUCGCCAUUAGGUUUCACGCAGCAAAUCUAACAGCGAUGAAAUCGUUGGUACCACGAGUCUAGAAAUUUCUAACCCUUUGCAGUCGAGAGGUGACUCUCAGUCGCCAUUAGGUUUCACGCAACGAAUCUACGAUACCUAAUGUUUCUUUAGGUUUCAUUUCUUUUUGGAGCUUCAAGUGUCGAUAAAAUGAUUGUCGGCGAGGUAAAGGUGACCUCAUUACACAUCUCGAGUUGCUGAUAGAUACCAGAAAAGAAGGCCUCGAGCGCAAAGGGUUAAUCCUCUGUAGCUGAGAUUUUCUGAUCCUUUUCGGAACGAUAUCAUCGAAAAAGCUCGCGGGAAGGAGAAAGUCCGGGAAUCGGGAAAAGUAAGGGAAUCUAAUGGCGAUCGCUAGAGACAGAUCGGGGGAGGCUGAAGAACAAACGGGAGCGACGGAGAACCGAAUAAUGGCGAAGAGAGAACGGAUCCGAGACCUGGGCGUAGAAAAAUCGCGGGGCGUGGAGGGAUGAUGGGGAGGGAGAAUGAAACCGUGAUGUGAUAUAAGAACGAGAAUCCAGCGGUGGGGCAGACCGGGCAACCAGGCCUUGAAGAAGCGAAAGAGAACAAAAAGCGACGGGGCUUCGACUGCGCUAUUCCUACUGCCACUUCAUAAAGUUUCACGAAAAUCGACCGAGGCCCCCCAUAUCUUGUAAAACUUUCGACCCUCCCAACGUUUCUAAUCCCACACGUAUGCGAGAUUCCCGAUGACCCGUCUUCUUUCUUUCGUCGUUUAGUCGAGGCAUGGGACAAGGAUCGCGCCUUCGCAACCAGCGUGAAUGCCACAGGUUUCGACGUUACAUCGAAAAGUCGGCCGGUCUCUAUGCGGGAAAAGGCGAGCAAAGGGCGGACGAGUCGAAGCAAAGUACUGGGGAAAAAGACAGAAGCAAAGUUGGAC